GAUGAACGCUGACAGAAUGCUUAACACAUGCAAGUCAACUUGAACUUCGGUUUGGGUGGCGGACGGGUGAGUAACGCGUAAAGAACUUGCCUCACAGAUAGGGACAACAUUUGGAAACGAAUGCUAAUACCUGAUAUUAUGAUUUUAAGGCAUUUUAGAAUUAUGAAAGCUAUAAGCACUGUGAGAGAGCUUUGCGUCCCAUUAGCUAGUUGGAGAGGUAACAGCUCACCAAGGCGAUGAUGGGUAGCCGGCCUGAGAGGGUGAACGGCCACAAGGGGACUGAGACACGGCCCUUACUCCUACGGGAGGCAGCAGUGGGGAAUAUUGGACAAUGGACCGAGAGUCUGAUCCAGCAAUUCUGUGUGCACGAUGAAGUUUUUCGGAAUGUAAAGUGCUUUCAGUUGGGAAGAAAGAAAUGACGGUACCAACAGAAGAAGUGACGGCUAAAUACGUGCCAGCAGCCGCGGUAAUACGUAUGUCACGAGCGUUAUCCGGAUUUAUUGGGCGUAAAGCGCGUCUAGGUGGUUAUGUAAGUCUGAUGUGAAAAUGCAGGGCUCAACUCUGUAUUGCGUUGGAAACUGUAUAACUAGAGCACUGGAGAGGUAAGCGGAACUACAAGUGUAGAGGUGAAAUUCGUAGAUAUUUGUAGGAAUGCCGAUGGGGAAGCCAGCUUACUGGACAGAUACUGACGCUAAAGCGCGAAAGCGUGGGUAGCAAACAGG
rnacentral:rRNA from 1 species